CAGUGGCCGAGUGGUUAAGGCGAUGCCCUGCUAUACUUAGAUAGAGAGGCAUUGGACUUUGUCUUCGCAGAGUUCGAAUCCUGUCUGUGACG
rnacentral:tRNA from 1 species